AGGGUUUUCGAUCCCAUUGUAUAUGGCGAUUAUCCUCCUGAAAUGCGUCAUUAUCUUGGAAGUGUAUUGCCAAGCUUUUCACAGGAAGAAAUCAGCAUUGAAAAAGAAAGUAUAGAUUUAAUUGCCAUUAACCAUUGUUCAACAUUAUAUGCCAAGGAUUGCAUCCAUUUUGCUUGAAUCCCAGGCUGGGAUCGCCCUAUCCGAGGCUUUGUAUACACCACAGGAGAGAGAGAUGGUGUUCUGAUCGGAGACCCGAAAUGGAGCUGAUGUUCGUGGGUAUUUCGUGCGGAGCAUGAUCGACAACUUCGAAUGGAUCGAUGGUUACAGUGUGCGGUAUGGACUUUACUAUGUUGAUCGCCAAACUCUUAAACGCAUGCCAAAGCUUUCUGCUAAGUGGUAUAAAAAUUUCCUCACAGUUGAUGCUACUAGCAAUAGCAAUAGCAGCAAUAUUUUCAAAAGGAAAAAUAUCAUGAGCACUGUAUCACAAGCCUCAAAAGCAGAAAUAUAAUAGUUAUGCAUUUAUACGAGAUUCUAACUUA